rnacentral:misc_RNA from 1 species
GAUGAAGAACGCAGUGAAAUGCGAUACGUAAUGUGAAUUGCAGAAUUCAGUGAAUCAUCGAAUCUUUGAACGCACAUUGCGCCCCCUGGUAUUCCGGGGGGCAUGCCUGUCCGAGCGUCAUUACAACCCUCAAGCUCAGCUUGGUGUUGGGCCCCGCCGCCCCGGCGGGCCCUAAAGUCAGUGGCGGUGCCGUCCGGCUCCGAGCGUAGUAAUUCUUCUCGCUCUGGAGGUCCGGUCGUGUGCUUGCCAGCAACCCCCAAUUUUUUUCAGGUUGACCUCGGAUCAGGUAGGGAUACCCGCUGAACUUAAGCAUAUCAAUAAGCGGAGGA